UCAGGUAGGACUACCCGCUGAACUUAAGCAUAUCAAUAAGCGGAGGAAAAGAAACCAACAGGGAUUACCUUAGUAACGGCGAGUGAAGCGGUAAGAGCUCAAAUUUGAAAUCUGGCACUUUCAGUGUCCGAGUUGUAAUUUGAAGAAGGUAACUUUGGGAUUGGCUCUUGUCUAUGUUCCUUGGAACAGGACGUCACAGAGGGUGAGAAUCCCGUGCGAUGAGAUGCCCAAUCCUUUGUAAAGUGCUUUCGAAGAGUCGAGUUGUUUGGGAAUGCAGCUCUAAGUGGGUGGUAAAUUCCAUCUAA
rnacentral:rRNA from 1 species